rnacentral:lncRNA from 12 species
UCCGCGGGCAGCCUGGCGGGGAGCGCCGGGGCCGUCGGGAGCCGGUUCCCGAGGAGCUGCCGCUGCCCCGGCCCUUGGCCGCGGGGCACCUGUUUGCCCUGGGACGGGUCUGCACCCAGCCGGGAAGAACCGCUUCUUGGGCCCCCAGGAGUGGGUGUCCAGAUUUCCUUCCUACAUUUUCACCCGUGGUUUGUCAUCGGUGGCGUCCAACCAGCAGGAGCUCCGUGCCUGUGCCCCAGGCCUCAGCCGGUGGCUCCCCGGCUCGAAGGUGCCACCAGGAGCCAUCUCUGGCCUGGACGCCGCAGUCAAACACCGGAGAUCUCAGCCCUUGAAACGCCUUCAUAUCUCUGUGCAUGUUGUUUGUGGAAACUUCUGCAAGGCAGCUCGCGUGUGCUUAUGUAUCCAAACCCUGUUCCAGUGUACCAGAGAUUUGCCAUGUCUCUGCUGUGUCUGCAAGUGCCUGAUUUAACACAGAAUAAAGGAAUUAUCCCUUAUGACUACAAAUCCAAGAUAUACUGGUGAAAACACCUUUGUCUUCUAUUUUCUUCACCUGCUCCACUGACUCCUGCUCAAGGAAUGUACCAUACUACGAAUAUGUGACUUAAAUUUGAACUGACUUUGAGUCUAAACAGCAGAAGGAGCUUUCUUAGUGAUGUUGGGGUUAACCAAUAAAGGAAUGUUGUUCCAAUUAAUUCAAGGACAAUGUUAUCAACCAGGAGGAAAGAUAAGUUCUCUCCUCUGCAGAAACCUUCAUAUUGUGGAUUUAGCUGCCAGAUGAGAGAAUGCUCAGAAUCUCUUGCGUUUUUGCUUUCCCUAAAUCCCGUAUUCCUCUGCCUUUGCUCCCCAUGAGCCUGGAGAGUCAUCGUCCCACGUCCUUCCCAGAAUACAAAGCACCCUCAGUGCAUGACCCCUCUCCUUGGCCAAAUGCUGAGUCCUUUUCUUCUACUCUAAGAGCUUGUUCUGCAUGACAGUGCUUCUGUCUUUAACACGUCUUUUGUGUAGCAGGUUCUGCCCUAAGAUUUGCUAUGGAUCUCCCAUUGAGGUCAAUGGAUGUGGGAAGUAUGUCUGCAUAGCUCAAGCCUACUUUACUGUAAUUGCAAUGAAAGGCAAAGUGCUCAGAUGUGAUAAAUGUGACAUUCUUCACUCUGGAUGCUGGCUAUCACAGCUACUGUAGCUCACUGGCUUCUCAGAGAAACCGAGAGACAGCUUGCUUUGCCCCCAGCCCUUCUCCUACUCUCAUUUUCCCAUUGGAGCAUCCGUACAGUCACACAGACAGUGACUCUAUCACAGAUGUCUUUAUUCCGCCCCCCUCAUCACAAAGGAACAGGUCGAAACAGAUGCACUGACGGGUUUGGACUUUAAUGCUUUUAGGCCAGAGAUUUUGCUUCAACCAACCUGGAGAUUCAGCUUCAGUUUAUUUCAGCGGUGAAUUACUAUGUCCAAGGACUUCGGUGGGAGCUGCGUCUGCAAAUGGAUCUGAACCUGCAAAUAUUCCAACUGGCAAAAGAAACUGGACUUGAUUUGGCCCUUAAGACAGCCUCUAAUUCCAUUAAAGAAGCAGAAGAAGGACAUGCUUGUCUAUUUCUUUUACUGCUACAUACUUUUUUUGUUGUUGUUAGUUUUGUAGCUGCAGAGCUGAUGGUGUAUUAUUCGCCUUGAUUUUAUCUGGUGCUCAUCUCCAUUGCACUGAGGUCGGACUGUACCCUUUAAUACAUUUUUAAAACUUUAAGGAGCUUAUUAAAUAAGCUUCUUGUUACUAAGUAUUUCAGACUUUGCUCAGUAUCUCAAUUGAGAAUCAGCUCUUUGCAAUACCUCUGCAACUGGAAAAAAAAAUACCUGUAAAAAAUUGGAUUUGGGGGAAUUCUUGCUGCCACUGCACCACAUGGUACAAUGCCACUAUUUCUGCCUUCAGAUGUAAAUGCCUGUGCAAAUGCUGCUUUUCAAUUAAAUGUAGUACAAUUCGUUGAAGUUUAGCCAAAGAAAGCCUGUGAAUUGAAACACUUAAACGAUACAUUAGGAUUUAGUUACAGACUUUGCAUUUGCUUUCUCAACCAAAUGUAAAACAAUUGUUUAGUGGCCCAUAGGAGAGAAGAUUUUACUUGGGUUUUGUUUGAGCGUCAGUGUUAACGAUCAGUGCUCAAGCGUUUUAGAUUUCAAUCUUAAAUUAGCAAUUUAAAGACAACAAAGAAUGAUUUUCAUGCUUGUCAGUUCUGAUUAAUGUAACAUUAACCCCUAGAGAACAGUAUAUUGCUCCAGUACUUUAUUUCAACUUGCAAGAGACCAGUCCUGCGAAACAAUGAA